GAUGAACGCUGGCGGCGUGCCUAAUACAUGCAAGUCGAGCGAACGGACGAGAAGCUUGCUUCUCUGAUGUUAGCGGCGGACGGGUGAGUAACACGUGGAUAACCUACCUAUAAGACUGGGAUAACUUCGGGAAACCGGAGCUAAUACCGGAUAAUAUUUUGAACCGCAUGGUUCAAAAGUGAAAGACGGUCUUGCUGUCACUUAUAGAUGGAUCCGCGCUGCAUUAGCUAGUUGGUAAGGUAACGGCUUACCAAGGCAACGAUGCAUAGCCGACCUGAGAGGGUGAUCGGCCACACUGGAACUGAGACACGGUCCAGACUCCUACGGGAGGCAGCAGUAGGGAAUCUUCCGCAAUGGGCGAAAGCCUGACGGAGCAACGCCGCGUGAGUGAUGAAGGUCUUCGGAUCGUAAAACUCUGUUAUUAGGGAAGAACAUAUGUGUAAGUAACUGUGCACAUCUUGACGGUACCUAAUCAGAAAGCCACGGCUAUCUACGUGCCAGCAGCCGCGGUAAUACGUAGGUGGCAAGCGUUAUCCGGAAUUAUUGGGCGUAAAGCGCGCGUAGGCGGUUUUUUAAGUCUGAUGUGAAAGCCCACGGCUCAACCGUGGAGGGUCAUUGGAAACUGGAAAACUUGAGUGCAGAAGAGGAAAGUGGAAUUCCAUGUGUAGCGGUGAAAUGCGCAGAGAUAUGGAGGAACACCAGUGGCGAAGGCGACUUUCUGGUCUGUAACUGACGCUGAUGUGCGAAAGCGUGGGGAUCGAACAGGAUUAGAUACCCUGGUAGUCCACGCCGUAAACGAUGAGUGCUAAGUGUUAGGGGGUUUCCGCCCCUUAGUGCUGCAGCUAACGCAUUAAGCACUCCGCCUGGGGAGUACGACCGCAAGGUUGAAACUCAAAGGAAUUGACGGGGACCCGCACAAGCGGUGGAGCAUGUGGUUUAAUUCGAAGCAACGCGAAGAACCUUACCAAAUCUUGACAUCCUUUGACAACUCUAGAGAUAGAGCCUUCCCCUUCGGGGGACAAAGUGACAGGUGGUGCAUGGUUGUCGUCAGCUCGUGUCGUGAGAUGUUGGGUUAAGUCCCGCAACGAGCGCAACCCUUAAGCUUAGUUGCCAUCAUUAAGUUGGGCACUCUAAGUUGACUGCCGGUGACAAACCGGAGGAAGGUGGGGAUGACGUCAAAUCAUCAUGCCCCUUAUGAUUUGGGCUACACACGUGCUACAAUGGACAAUACAAAGGGCAGCGAAACCGCGAGGUCAAGCAAAUCCCAUAAAGUUGUUCUCAGUUCGGAUUGUAGUCUGCAACUCGACUACAUGAAGCUGGAAUCGCUAGUAAUCGUAGAUCAGCAUGCUACGGUGAAUACGUUCCCGGGUCU
rnacentral:rRNA from 1 species